AUUGAACGCUGGCGGCAGGCCUAACACAUGCAAGUCGAGCGGUAGCACAGGGAGCUUGCUCCUGGGUGACGAGCGGCGGACGGGUGAGUAAUGUCUGGGAAACUGCCUGAUGGAGGGGGAUAACUACUGGAAACGGUAGCUAAUACCGCAUAACGUCGCAAGACCAAAGAGGGGGACCUUCGGGCCUCUUGCCAUCAGAUGUGCCCAGAUGGGAUUAGCUAGUAGGUGGGGUAAUGGCUCACCUAGGCGACGAUCCCUAGCUGGUCUGAGAGGAUGACCGGCCAAACUGGAACGGAGACACGGGCCAGACUCCUACGGGAGGCAGCAGUGGGAAAUAUUGCACAAGGGGCGCAAGCCGGAUGCAGCCAUGCCGCGUGUAUGAAGAAGGCCUUCGGGUUGUAAAGUACUUUCAGCGGGGAGGAAGGUGUUGAGGUUAAUAACCUCAGCAAUUGACGUUACCCGCAGAAGAAGCACCGGCUAACUCCGUGCCAGCAGCCGCCGUAA
rnacentral:rRNA from 1 species